rnacentral:tRNA from 1 species
GGAGGGGUGCAGGAGUGGCUUAACUGGCUGGUCUCGAAAACCAUGCGCCCGCAAGGGCUCGAGGGUUCAAAUCCCUCCCCCUCCGCCA